UCAAAGAGAAAAAUUUUAUUGAUAUAAAAUGCACUUAUAAAAUGUCCACAGAAGACAUGUCAUUUUUCACUGCUAUAUAAAUUUAUUGGGAAUGUUAUUCACAUCUAUUGUCACCUAAAACAUACUGUAAACAAUGGGUUAUUCCCUAAGACAAAUGCAUACGUGAUUCUCAGCAAUCAUUGGUUUGAUUAUUAGUAGGUUACAAGGUCACAUCUCUGUGGAAUGUCAGUGACCGCUGUAGUGUGACAGGCUUCAGCGCAUCAUUGCACACACUGCUUCAGAACAGUCCCCACCGGGUCUGGACCCAGGACGCAAAGCACCCCCUCUGCUUGAAACGGCAGCAUGAGGUUCAGGUCAAGGUCUUCCAAAUCCCGGACACGUCAGUCCGCUUCCAAACUUCUGAGUUAUGGCUCUGCAGCAGGUUUAGCAGAUUAAAUACCAAGUGUUCUAACUCCCUCUAUUUCAAGUAACAAUGAACUCUUGAGGCUCAAACUCUUUAGGUUUUAACUGAAAGUAACCAAGCUUCAGAAAGCCCGUGUUCCGAGGCAUUAUUAAUUGACAAAAGAGCCUUAGGCUACGUAUUCUCUGUGCUAGCCUACUAAGUAUUAGAAAUCAAUAAUUUUAGGUCUGAAAACUUGCU
rnacentral:lncRNA from 1 species